CAUCUUCCCCAAACAUUACUCCAGUCUAAGCUUUUUCUGCUGGUGAUUAAAGCAUCAGAAUCUGCUCUGAGGCUAGCUCCCUUUCACGGCUCUAAAGAAACUCGACAUCAAAUGAAAAUCAUUUCAGGAACAAUUAGACAAAAGGAGACUAGAAGAAUAAAUGAAUGAUAAAACAAAAGAAGAGAAGAGCAAGGGAAACAGAAGUUAGAGAAGUAUCUCUCAUUCAGAGUCUGUAGGCAGAUCUUUUAUGUAAACUGAAGUGGUUACCAUUUUACCUUAUAUAGUAAAUCUUUAUUUCUUCAAUAAAGUGACUCUCAUUUCCAAAAAGGCGGUAUUUUAUUUUUGCAUUCUCUCUCUCUUCCCCUCUCUCUUUA